GGUUCCAUGGUGCAUCCAAAUGUUCCUUGUAUGCUGUUUACCCCAAUCUGUCCACACUCUCUCUCAUUUAGGCCGGUCAUACUUCCGGAUUCUGCUAGGCUGGAAUUAAAGAUUCCAGAUGAUGCUCGAAGCAAUGUAUGGGUUUCUUUUGAUGGGAAGAGAAGGCAGCAACUUUCAAGAGGGGAUUCUGUCCAGAUAUCUAUGAGCCAGCACCCACUCCCAACAGUCAACAAAUCUGACCAAACAGGUGAUUGGUUUCACAGCUUGAUUCGCUGCCUGAACUGGAAUGAGAGGCUAGAUCAGAAGGCCCUGUGAAGCUUCUGAAACUGAAGAGGAGCCUAGUCCAUUUCCAUUUCUGGAUUGAGGUUUGUGUAAAUUAAUUAAUGUACAGAUUGAAAAUAAAAAUGACCACAGAAAAUUUUACUGAUGCUGAGUUAAUACUAUUCAUCACAACAUAGGCUUU
rnacentral:misc_RNA from 1 species